AAGUCGUAACAAGGUCUCCGUUGGUGAACCAGCGGAGGGAUCAUUACCGAGUUUACAACUCCCAGACCCCUGUGAACAUACCAAUUGUUGCCUCGGCGGAUCAGCCCGCUCCCGGUAAAACGGGACGGCCCGCCAGAGGACCCCUAAACUCUGUUUCUAUAUGUAACUUCUGAGUAAAACCAUAAAUAAAUCAAAACUUUCAACAACGGAUCUCUUGGUUCUG
rnacentral:misc_RNA from 1 species